rnacentral:rRNA from 1 species
ACAGCAGUAGCCACGGUAAUACGUAGGUGGCAAGCGUUGUCCGGAAUUAUUGGGCGUAAAGGGCUCGCAGGCGGUUUCUUAAGUCUGAUGUGAAAGCCCCCGGCUCAACCGGGGAGGGUCAUUGGAAACUGGGAAACUUGAGUGCAGAAGAGGAGAGUGGAAUUCCACGUGUAGCGGUGAAAUGCGUAGAGAUGUGGAGGAACACCAGUGGCGAAGGCGACUCUCUGGUCUGUAACUGACGCUCAUGCACGAAAGCGUGGGGAGCAAACAGGAUUAGAUACCCGUGUAGUCCCUGUCUCUUAUAU